rnacentral:tRNA from 1 species
UGAGGCUGUAGCUUAGUGGUAGAACACUUGCCUUGCAUGAAUGAGGUACUAAGUUUGAUCCUUAGCACCACAA